ACUAGGCCAAAUAUUGAAGUUAAGUUUUCAAAUAAUGGAACUUUUUAAGAUGCCUUUUAAAGGGGAGGGGCAAGUUUUGGCAAUUAGUUGGCAGUGGCCUGUUUUGGUUGGGGUUGGGUGGGUUGGGUUUAGGUAAUUGUUUAGUUUAUGAUUUCAGAUAACUCAUGCCAGAGAACUUAAAUACUUAGGAUGGAAAAACUAAAGAAAUCUCACCUCCCAAGUUGGCAAGUAACUCCUGAUCCUCUAGUUUCUUGUUUUACCCCAAUUUUUGAACUGGACAGCUGGGAACUUCAAAGAUUCACUGGAUUUAAAGUGUAGGGCUUGGGAAAGGAAAGUGUUGGAUUGGGGGUUGGUCUAGCCCACUGGGUUGACCAAGAUAAAAACUUGGGGAAUUGUUUAAACACUAAAGUUGUUUGGAUAUGGUAGUGUGUGGUUCUCUUUUGGAAUUUUUUUCAGGUGAUUUAAUAAAACUUAAUACUACUAUAGGAGCUUCAGAGCAAAGGAAGUGGCUUAAUGAUCCUGAAGGGAUUUCUUCUGAUGGUAGCUUUUAUAUUAUCAAGUAAGAUUCUAUUUUCAGUUACAUAAGCAAGUUUUUUAGUAUAGGAAAUUUUUGUAUGGCUGCGAGACAAGAUGUUUCUCAUUAUCAGAAGAGUUGCUUCAUAUCAUCUGGGAGCAGAAAACAGCAGGCAGCUGUUCACAGAUAAGUUUAACUUGCAUCUGCAGUAUUGCAUGUUAGGGAUAAGUGCUAUGUUUAAUAAGAGCUGUGGAGGUCCUAGGUCCCUUACUCAAGGGAUCUCAGGAUUUUGAGGAAUUUUCCCAUCCAGCCUUUUAAAAUGAGACAGGCCUUAUGCCUGUGGGCUUCCAUGAUGGGCUAACUCACUUCACUCGAGGCAAGUAAUUCCUUAAAGCCUCUUGAGAUUAAUACCUUAAUAAUCAAGGAUAAUGUUGAUAAAAUAAAAAUUUGUUUAGCAUUGAUUCUUGAAAACCCUAUGAAAAGAUAGCAUAAUGUGCUGUUAACCAGAAUCAGAUAUGUUAACCUUGCUAAAAUUUAAAUGUUAUGUGUAUUGUGCAGAAAACCGUAAAAUCACUCAAAAUAAAAUACUUUAUUUAGCGAAUGUAUGCUUUUAGAAAGCUGUCUCCUUAUUUAAAUAAAAUAUUGUUUGUCUGUAGUUAGUGUUGGGCAAUCUUGGGGGGAUUCUUCUCAUCUUUCAGAGACUUUGUCUGCGAACACUCUGUAAUGGACAAGAUCAGGAAUUGAGCUGAAGAACGAAUUUAACUUAAGGCAGGAAAGACAAAUUUUAUCCUUCGUAAAAUUGAUGACCAUUUAAUAAUUCCAGGCACAUGGCCAUAGAGACCCUCUAAAUAAAUAAGGAAUAAAUACUUAUUAGGCAGGUGGGAGAUUAUGAUCAGAAGAACAGGUAACUACACCUACGCAUUUUUCAGAAAGUCAGGAGUCGAAAUUGACAGUACUGAAGUAUAAUGCGGUCCACAUUUCCAAAGUUUGCAUGUUAAAUUGAAAUGCUUACCAUCUCAUCUAGUGUUAGCCAAUGCUUUACACUUAUUAGCCUUUUAUAUAGACACUUGGUGGGGGGCAUGUGGGUUUUUUAAAGAACUUUCCUUUGCAGAGGCUUCGUUUCAUCCUUCAUGAGGCUGUUCAGGAUUUUGACUUGCAUAUAAACGCUUGGCUCUGCCUUCUGUUCUCCUAGUGGGUGUGUGAGACCUUGCAGUGAGUUUUCAGCAUACUCAAGUAAAAAUUUUUUUCCCCCUGAUUUUGGAGGGAAGGGAGGAGAGGGUGGGGCUUACUUGUUUUUAGCUUUUUUUUUGCAGACUACACAGAAUGCAGUUGUCUUGACCUCAGGUCUGUCUGUUCUGUUGGCAAGUAAUAAUGCAGUACUGUUCUGACCUGCUGCUAUUAGAAUGCAUUGUGAAACGACUGGAGUAUGAUUAAAAGUUAUGUUUCCCCCAAUGCUUGGAGUAGUGAUUGUUGAAGGAAAAUCCACUGAGUGAUAAAAGGCUGAGUGUUGAGGAAAUUUCUGCAGCUUUAAGCAUUCAUGUUUGUGAUUGAAGCAGUCCUUUUUGCUGUGCUUUAGGUAAAAUGCUUUUUGUUCACUUCUGGUAGGGGGGGUGGGGAGGGCACUGAAGCCUUUAGUCUUUUCCAGAUGCAACUUUAAAAUCAGUGACAAGAAAUAAGUUCCAAACGAACAACAGACUUCAAGAAGUUUAACUGGCAAGUGGAAACGUUUUAACAUCAGUUCAGUGGUCUUAGUGCAUUGUGUGUGCAGGUUUCUCUCUUCCCUCCCUUGGUCUCAAUUCUUAUACACAGGAACAUUCAGAACAACAGAUGAAGGGCCAGAGAAGCCAGACCCAGU
rnacentral:lncRNA from 1 species